CCGAGAGUAUACCUCUCCACCCCAUGUGUACUAUCCUCAGUUUCUUCGGCAGGUCGGGACCCUAGCAUUUGGCCCCCUUUUCAUGGUGGGCUGGCUGGUGGGCCCCUGGCCUGUCGGUGGUAACUCUGUGGUCCAAAUGUGUCGUCUGAGUUUGGCUUCCAAUAGAACA
rnacentral:misc_RNA from 1 species